rnacentral:lncRNA from 1 species
CCAGUGUCCAUGGCCAGGCACUUAGAUCCGCCGUGUCUACCUUUAUAAUUAAUUCCCCGACUGCCACUUUUCCCAAGAGCGUUAUUUUCAGGCCCACAAUGCCUUCAGUAUUGAAAUUUGUGGUUAUUGUAUCCCAUCUUCUUUUUCUCCUGUUUUAAAACUCUUUGCAGUCUUUGCUGUCAUUGUCCUCCCUAGCCUCUUUAAAAUGCAUCCUUUUUUUUUUCUUGGGAAUUUGUGGCCAUGUCUCCAGAAAUGACAAGCUGGCAAGCGAGUUCAUCCAUUCUACAUUCAACAAAUAUUUGUUGAGCUCUAUGUGACAGGCAUUUUCCCGUGUUCUUGGGGCUUACAUUAUGCUGGUGGUGGAGAAAGGAGGUCAAACACUAGAUGUAAUAAGCAAAUGUUAGAAGAUGCUGCGGGGAGGGGAGAACAAUGUAUGUGGUGCGGGUGGGAGUAGCUGGUAGGGCUGUAAUCUUAAAUAUGAUGCACAAGUUACUGAGAUGGUGACAUUUGAGCAAAGACUUCAGGAAAAUGAGGGAAAUGGCCAUGCGGAAAACUGGAGAAAUUGCUUUCCAUGAAGAGGGAACUGCCAGUGCAAUGGUACUAACGCUGGGAGUAUGUAUGGUUUAUUGGAGGAACUUCAAAGAGGCAAGCAUGGCUGGAGGGAGUGAGUAAGGGGAAAAGUAGAGGGACAGGUAAUGGAGGGGAAAACAGAGUAGAGUCUUGUAGGACAAUAUAUGAACCUCUGAGGAGCCAUUGGAAGGUUGUGGUUUUUUUUAAUUUUAGUUUUUAAAAACACGAGAUGGAUCUUGAUAUGUUGGCCAGGUUGGUCUUGAACUCUUGGCCUCAAGCAGUCCUCCCACUUCAGCUUCCCAAAGUGCUACGAUUACAGGUGUGAGCCACCACUGCAGACCAUUGGAAGGUUUUUACGCAGAGAAGUCACGUGACCUGGCAUAGCUUAGCUCAGUGGUGGCUUUGGAACUCCAGGCUGGAGUGCAGUGGCACGAUCAUGGCCCACUGCAGCCUCAACUUCCAAGGCUCAAGCAAUCCUCCCACCUCAGCCUCCCAAGUAGUUGGUACUACAGGUACGUGCCACCAUGCCCGGCUAAUUUUUGCAUUUCUUAGUUUUUUUGUAGAGAUGAGGGUCUCAUGUUUCCCGGGCUGCUCUUGAACUCCUGGCUCAAGCAAUCCACCCACCUCAGCCUCCCAAAGUGCUGGGAUUACAGGGGUGAGUCAUUGCUCCUAACUUUUCGUUACACUAGAAAAUUGUAGAAGACACCAAAGAGCCUCUGUUUAUGUGGAUUGUGGCUAUUGAUAUUCACCACCAUAGAAAUGAAAACAAAAGUUUUAAUUCAUUGAAAAAUAAUGAAAAUUCUCAGAAAGGUCAAUGGUAAAAAUAAUGAUAAUAAAACCAUUUCAUGUUAACAAAAACUUUUUUUGUUUUAUGAAAAAUGGCAAUUUACCAAGACAUAAUUUAGUGAGAAGAAUGGCUUUUAAGAAAAACCGGUUUUUCAGAGGUCUUCUGUGUUUGGCUUAAUAGAGGACAGCUUGAUUCCCAUAUUUGCUUUUGCAUUCAAACUGUUGGGAUAUGAAAUUUUUGUCGAAGUAUGAAAAAAUCCACUUCUCAUAAAUAUUUAGUAUAGGAGC